UCUUACGGAUGAGCACAGAAAGUGGUUUCUUGAGAUGGAAUCUACUCCUGGUGAAGAUGCUGUGAA
rnacentral:pre_miRNA from 1 species